rfam:Nelumbo nucifera unplaced genomic scaffold scaffold00092, whole genome shotgun sequence
GUUGGAAUAGCUUAGUUGGUUAGAGCGUGUGGCUGUUAAUCACAAGAUCGAAGGUUUAAACCCUUCUUCUAGCG